rnacentral:misc_RNA from 1 species
AACGCACAUUGCGCCUUUUGGUAUUCCGAAAGGCAUGCCUGUUUGAGUGUCAUAUCACCUCUCAGCCAUAGUUUUCCUAUGGUUGAGCUUUGGACGCUGCCAUCCGUGGCUCGUCUUAAAUGACUAAGUGGAAUGCGUAAUAAGUUUUCGCUCCCUCCACUCUAAUAACUCUUUAGUUAGACCUCAAAUCAGGUAGGACUACCCGCUGAACUUAA